GGGGAAUUUUGCACAAUGGGCGCAAGCCUGAUGCAGCGACGCCGCGUGAGGGAUGGAGGCCUUCGGGUUGUGAACCUCUUUCGCUCAUGGUCAAGCCGCGGAUGUGUCCGUGGUGAGGGUAGUGGGUAAAGAAGCGCCGGCUAACUACGUGCCAGCAGCCGCGGUAAUACGUAGGGCGCGAGCGUUGUCCGGAAUUAUUGGGCGUAAAGGGCUUGUAGGCGGUUUGUCGCGUCUGCCGUGAAAUUCCCUGGCUUAACUGGGGGCGUGCGGUGGGUACGGGCAGGCUUGAGUGCGGUAGGGGAGACUGGAAUUCCUGGUGUAGCGGUGGAAUGCGCAGAUAUCAGGAGGAACACCGGUGGCGAAGGCGGGUCUCUGGGCCGUUACUGACGCUGAGGAGCGAAAGCAUGGGGAGCGAACA
rnacentral:rRNA from 1 species